AGGGCGCACGGCGGAUGCCUUGGCGCUAGAGGCCGAUGAAGGACGCGGUUACCUGCGAAAAGCUCCGGGGAGUUGGUAGCAAAUGUCGAUCCGGAGAUCUCCGAAUGGGGGAACCCCAUCAGGAUCAACCCUGAUGACCCACACCUGAAUACAUAGGGUGUGAGGAGGGCACCGGGGGAACUGAAACAUCUCAGUACCCCGAGGAAAAGAAAGAAUUCCCUUAGUAGUGGCGAGCGAAACGGGAAGAGCUCAAACCCGACCCGCGUGAUAGCCGGCAGGCGUUGCGUGUUGGGUGUUGUGAGGCGUGGCGGUCGAUCUGCCGAUCGAUAACGGAGUCAGAAAAACGUCUGUCAGCGGAAGGUGCCUGGAAAGGCCAACCAAAGACGGUGACAGUCCAGUACGCGAAGGCUGACGUUCUCCGGCCGAUGUCCUCGAGUACCACCAGGAAGGUCUCCAUGGUGGGAAUCUGGGCAGACCACUGUCCAAAGCUAAAUACCUCUAGCGACCGAUAGUGAACUAGUACCGUGAGGGAAAGGUGAAAAGCACCCCGGGAGGGGAGUGAAAUAGAAACUGAAACCGUGUGCCUACAAGCAGUCGGAGCCUGUUGCUGCGCAAGCAGUAGGGUGACGGCGUGCCUAUUGAAGAAUGAUCCGGCGAGUUAGCUGUAUGCGGCGAGGUUAAGACCUGACGGUCGGAGCCGAAGCGAAAGCGAGUCUGAAUAGGGCGUGGAUCGCAAGAUCCGUAGUCGCAUGCACUAGACCCGAAACCGAGUGAGCUACCCAUGGCCAGGCUGAAGCGGAGGUAAAACUCCGUGGAGGGCCGAACUCAUUAGCAUUGAAAAGCUACGGGAUGAGCUGUGGGUAGAGGUGAAAUGCCAAACGAACUCGGAGAUAGCUGGUUCUCCCCGAAAUAGCUUUAGGGCUAGCGUCGUGUGUUCACUCACAGAGGUAGAGCACUGAAUGGGCUAGGGGGCUUAUCGCUUACCAAACCCAAUCAAACUCCGAAUGCUGUGAGUCCAAGCGCGGCAGUCAGUCUCCGGGGGCUAAGCUCCGGGGACAAAAGGGAAACAGCCCAGACCAACAGCUAAGGUCCCUCAAUCCAGGCUAAGUGGCAAAGGAUGUCGAAUCGCUCAGACAACCAGGAUGUUGGCUUAGAAGCAGCCAUCAUUGAAAGAGUGCGUAACAGCUCACUGGUCGAGUGAUUCGGCGCCGAAAAUCUAACGGGGCUCAAGCCUGGUACCGAAGCUUUGGAUCGACGGCCUCUUCGGAGGCCCGUGGGUGGUAGGGGAGCGUUCCAAGCGCAGUGAAGGUAGACCGUGAGGACUGCUGGAGCUCUUGGAAGUGAGAAUGCCGGAACGAGUAGCGAAAUGUGCGUGAGAAACGCACACACCGUAUGCCUAAGGUUUCCUGAGGAAGGUUAAUCCGCUCAGGGUCAGUCGGGCCUAAGUCGAGGCCGAAAGGCGUAGGCGAUGGACAUCCGGUUUAUAUUCCGGAACCGCUCGAGAUCGUUAUCAACGAAGGGGUGACCCAGUCUGCUAGUCCCAGCGCACUUUGGCUAUGUGCGUCUAACUUCAUAGCCGUUUCCCGAUAGGCAAAUCCGUCGGGGACUUAAGGUGAAAAAGGAAUGCGAGCUGCAGCAAUGUGGCAAGUGGGGCAAGGCAAGCUGGCGAGAAAAGCCUCUAGUGAGAUCAAGAGUGUCCGUACCGCAAACCGACGCAGGUAGGCGGGUAGAGAAUACCAAGGUGAUCGGGAGAACCCUCCUUAAGGAACUCUGCAAAAUGACCCCGUAACUUCGGGAGAAGGGGUGCCUUGCACGCCUCGCAUUUAUGUGAGGGAAGUGAUCAAGGUCUCAGAUAAACGGGCCGAGCGACUGUUUAACAAAAACACAGGUCUCUGCGAAGGGGAAACCCUACGUAUAGGGGCUGACACCUGCCCAGUGCCGGAAGGUUAAUGGGAGAGCUGAAAGGCUUGAACUGAAGCCCCGGUGAACGGCGGCCGUAACUAUGACAAUGACCGUUGUAGUUCCGAGAACAAAAUCUGGCUAUUUGCUGGAACACCCGUGGAUCCUGCGCUACCUCAUGGUCAAGGCUCUGCCGAGAUCAAGCGUGAGGUGACAAUGCGCCAGGUGCGGACAAUCAGCAGGAAAGACUUCAUCCUGAACGUGGAAGCAACAUCCGAUGCGACCGGCCACUACUUGACUGGUUUCGUGGAUGGCGAAGGCAGCUUCAAUAUCUCGUUCAGGCUUCGUCCGACCGUCCACCGAGCGUGGAAGGUUUCACUCUGCUUCAACGUGUCGCAACGCGAGCCGAGCGUGCUGAAAUUGCUUCAGCUAGCGCUCGGAUGCGGAACGAUGCGCCAGCGACAGGAUGGCGUCUGGUACUUCGAGGUGAAUUCCUUGGGUGCCAUUCGCGCCGCGGUGAUCCCGUUCUUCGAACGAUUCCCAUUCCUGUCCGAGAAGAAGCAGCGCGACUUCAGGAAAUUCUGUGAGCUCACUCUCCUCAUGGAGGGUGGUCACCACCUCACCCGCGAGGGUGUGGAGCAGAUCCUGGAGAUCCGGAAAGAGAUGAAUGACGGCGGAAAACGCCGGCACGGCGACGCCGAGAUCCUAUCAAUCUAUCGGCGCGAAGAAUCCUCAGAGACUGUACGCCGGACUUCGUCAGUUACACCGUUGACGAAGAUGAGACAGUCCGAACUGCAUGGCGACAUGCAGAGUGGGUAUCGAAUCCCACCGUCCGAUCUCUCUGAUCGGAUCGCAACAGAAUGAACGGUCCUAAGGUAGCGAAAUUCCUUGUCGGGUAAGUUCCGACCCGCACGAAAGGUGUAACGACUUGGCCGCUGUCUCAAGGAGGGACCCGGCGAAACUGAGAUACCCGUGAAGACGCGGGUUACGCACA
rnacentral:rRNA from 1 species